UAUGUACUCCCUCCGUUCGGAAAUAUUUGUCAUUAAAAUAGAUGUAUCUAGAUGUAUUUUAGUUCUAGAUACAUCCAUUUUCAUCCAUUUUGAUGACAAGUAAUUCCGGACGGAGGGAGUAUUUG
rnacentral:pre_miRNA from 1 species